GAUGAAGAACGUAGCGAAAUGCGAUAAGUAGUGUGAAUUGCAGAAUUCAGUGAAUCAUCGAAUCUUUGAACGCACAUUGCGCCCCUUGGUAUUCCAUGGGGCAUGCCUGUUCGAGCGUCAUUUGUACCUUCAAGCUCUGCUUGGUGUUGGGUGUUUGUCUCGCCUCUGCGUGUAGACUCGCCUUAAAACAAUUGGCAGCCGGCGUAUUGAUUUCGGAGCGCAGUACAUCUCGCGCCUUGCACUCAUAACGACGACGUCCAAAAGUACAUUUUUACACUCUUGACCUCGGAUCAGGUAGGGAUACCCGCUGAACUUAAGCAUAUCAAUAAGCGGAGGA
rnacentral:misc_RNA from 1 species